AUGUUGCUCGCGAGAAGGCAACGUAUAAUUGUCCGUGAAUUGGCCUUGGCUUUUAUUUAUAGUCAUAGCAUAGCACACUUUUAUUGGGAAUUGGCGUCUUGUGAAAACAAAUGGUAAGUCUUUAUUAUUAUGCACAAAUUUAAUUCUAGGUAUAUACACACGUUUUCCUGUUGAUAUGCCUGUUAUUAUAUAUGCCUCUAUAACUUUUGGUAACAACUGGGAUACUAACAAACGUGUGCCAUUGCAUAGACCGAGUGUUUGGUUUAUGUUUCUGAGCUAUAUUACAGGAGUAUUGACAUUUAAGUCUAAUUUAUGAGAAGGGAUGCUAGAAAAACUUAGCUGAUUUAAAUAUUCCUGUGGAUACAAAGUUUCAGAAUCUACCGAGUCUUGCAUACGAGCUGUAUCAUUUUUUGGACACACGAUUGCUCUAGUUGACAAAUUGUUAGCGCAUGGAUUUUUGAGUAUUGAAUCAUCAUAAACAAAGUUGAUUAAAGAUUGAAGACUGUUUGCUUCUUAUUGAAUAAGAAAGUCUGGUGGGAUUUCAACAUUUUUUGUAUUAUGGGGAUCAUCUGCAUCGGGUUUGCCAAUCAAACCAUUUCCAAUAUCUAACAACCAUGACGCAAACAUAACAGAUGUUCGAGUAGUAGAUGAGCUUUGAGUAUCCCCAUUGAGACGCAUGUUCUGGGAGAGUUUGCCUAAAAUCACCUCCUAGAAGUAUAGACAUACCACCAAAGAGGUCCGUAUCGUUUCCCAAAACAUCUUUCAAUGAUCUAUCAAGACACUCAAAACAACGCCGAUCACUCAUGGGGGCUUCAUCCCAAAUUACUAAUGAUGUCUGUUUUAAAAGGUCGCCCAACUGCGUUUUUUUCUUGAUAUCACACGUUGAUUGUUCUGUAAGAUCUAUAGGUAUUUUGAAUCGAGAAUGAGCCGUUCUUCCCGAUGGUAAAAGAAGGGAGGCAAUUCCUGAUGCAGCCACUGCUAACACAACCUUCCCAAUGGAUCUAAUAAAAGAAAUGAUCGUAUUCCACAAAAAAGUUUUCCCGGUGCCACCAUGCCCGUAAACAAACAGUAACAGCUGAGUUUUAUUAACAUAUGAAUCUCUAACUGCAUUGUAAACUAGAAGUUGGUCCAUAUUUAGCUGUGAAUGCAUUUGCAAAUGUUGUAGACUCAGUGCUGAUCUAUCAUAACUGACUUCCUGUAACAAAAGGCGAUUUCUCAAAGUUGCAAGGACACUCUCAGAGGGUAAAGGAAGGCCGAAAUCCUUAAGUGAUUUAGAGGGAGUAGUGGAAUUCAAUAUUUUUUCAAGCUCUAAUAGGACUUUCUGUUGCAAAUCAAAAUCGUUCACAAGUGAGGUCGGAUUUGACAAAGUAGAGUUAAGAGUCAAGAGUAGAUCAUCAGCCAUCUUUUUCCACUCUGAUUGCCAUAAAACUAAAGGGUUACCGACCUCACAAAAUAAAAGCAAAUGACAGAAAAGAGACCUUAACUCUGAAGAUGUGGCCCACGCUGAUGCUUCAGUGAACGCUUCAGCCCACUCUCUGUCAUCACCUAAUAUACCCAACGACUCACAUGCCCCUCUAAAAGUUGUGUAUGUAACAGAAGACACGGUACGUACAUCAGAGUAGGACUUGCAACCUUUUUGAUGACAAAGUAGCAGGCACAAAUAGAAAAGUUCACCAGCUGUGGGAUGUACGUACACAAGGCGUCCAAUUGCUGCAGGUCUUGCUUGGACUCUACGAAUCCAUACUUUAGCGGAUAACUCCCAACGGUAUCUUGAUGGAUAAUCUCUAUAGCUAAGACUUGGACCGAAGGACUGCGUUCAUGAAUUGAGAAAUUCAAAAUUCUCCACGAAGCUUCAUGUGGGGAAAUAAACCGGCCGUCUAGAAAGUUUUGAAUUUUAUCAACCACAGGAGGCGCAUCAGACGAUGUAGAUGGUGAAUGAGUUUCAGACUUACGAAUUGCAAACUUAAUACGAUCAACUCCUUAGAGAUGUAUUUAAAGAGCUACAUAGACGUUUAUUGUAUGGAACAACAUAACUGCAAUCAAUUUGGAGGCCAUUCCUUGACACAUGAUAGUUGGUAGCUUGUCUUUUGCAAUGAACAUAGCCAUCCUUGUCAAACAGCGUAGCGGCUUCAAACGACUUUAGAAAAUGCUUUGAACAUUUACCUUCACGCAUACAAGGAGCGUUAGGAUUGAGCAACCCGCACGGGCCAUGAAUCAUGCAUUCAGUAAUUGUCUGAUACAAAAGAGGCUCAGAAUUUUGAUCCGGGAACUCAGCAGUAAUGUAACUAUCUACAUUUGAAGCGUCUCGUAUUCUAUCGACUGCUGUGACCCAGAUUAAAGUGUGAUAGUGCGGCCACCUGACAUUGCAUGUGAAAGUGAUGAAGUAUUGCGGAUUACCAUGGACCCUGCAAAUUGCUAAGGCGUCUUGGUAAUGCUUAUACAUGUAACAUGGCCCACCGGUAAACGAAGAUGGUAAAAAGAUCCGCUUUCCUAUAUCACGACAUUCCGUAUCACCUCGUGAAAGGGCAACGUACAUGCCAA
rnacentral:lncRNA from 1 species